UACGUAGGGUGCAAGCGUUGUCCGGAAUUAUUGGGCGUAAAGAGCUCGUAGGCGGUUUGUUGCGUCGGCUGUGAAAUCCCGAGGCUCAACCUCGGGUCUGCAGUCGAUACGAGCAAACUAGAGUGUUGCAGGGGAGACUGGAAUUCCUGGUGUAGCGGUGAAAUGCGCAGAUAUCAGGAGGAACACCGGGGGCGAAGGCGGGUCUCUGGGCAGUAACUGACGCUGAGGAGCGAAAGCGUGGGGAGCGAACAGG
rnacentral:rRNA from 1 species